rnacentral:lncRNA from 1 species
AAAUAGAAUAGUAUAGAAAACACUUCCUUUUUCCUUUUAUCAUCAUUAUUAUUAUCAGAACAGAAAAAAGGAAAAGAUCAAACAACGACAAGAGCAAAGCGUGCCUCUUCUUCCUGAUUUUGUCAGUUCCACUUUUUCCAAACAAGGCUUUAACCUUCACCAAUUUUACACUACAAAGAAAAGCACACAUCACUUUUUUUCUUCUUUUGCUUUUGCAAUCCCAUUUUUUCUUCCAAAACACAAAAAUCCAAUUCACCAUUAUCCAAUAAGUACAAGAAUUCAUCAUCAAUCAACUCUAUAAAUCAGAGCCAAAACAAUCAAUCAAAAAGAAGGAACUGCAAGCACUGGUGCUGCUCCUAUCCCUCCCCGUUUUUCAGCUUUCUUUUUCCAAAAUUAAGCCAUAAUCUUCACCAACAAUACAAGCAAUCAAAAAGCUUCAAUCACCCACCUUUUAUCUUUGCAAUACCAAUUUUUCUUCCAAAGCACCACCAUCUUUAUCUUCAAUCUUCUACCUUCAAUAAUCAUAACCAACAUCUUUAUCUUCACCACUUUCAAGUUUCAAACCACUCCCAAAUCACCAUUAACAACCUCUAAUCCAACAUUCAAACCAAAAAGAAACAGAACAAAGAAAAAUCAAAUAAAACUUCCAUCUUUCACCCCACGUCUACCAACCUAAAAUCCAUUCAAACCACCUUCUGAAAAUCACAAUACCAACCACUGUAACAACAAUCAACACCACCGGUUUCUAUCAUUUUGAACCAAGGAGGAAUUUUUCUUUAGCCGCAGGUCAAUUUUCUUUCUCUGCAUCGUGUUUAUUUUCUUAUUGUUUUAAGUUUUUUUAUUAUCAUUAAUUUUGUUUACUUAUUUAUGUUAGUGGGACUAAUGGCUGAUUUGUAGUUUUGGGCCUUAACCCAUUUAGUUUACUUGCACCCCCUUUUAAUUUACUUCUUCUUUUUUUUUUGACAACAAAAAAAAAAUAUAGAAAAACAAAGAACAAGAACACAAAAAGAUUACUUAUUUAUGUUAGUGAAGAAGAACAAGAACAACAUCGUUUUUGUUUGAUUCUUUUUGUUUUGUUCAACAUAUCCAAGUUGUGUGUAGAAUAGAAAAGUUCUGUCUCACUUCAUGCUUCUUUUCAUAUGGCAUUUUGGAUCUCAAAUGUGAUUCUCAAAGAUUGCAAGGAAGAAAGAUUUAGCAUUAGCAAAGCCUCAAGUUACAUGUGUAUCAUCAUAUCUUCAUUUUUUUUGUGAUUCUUCUUUUCCCUCCUCAAUAAUGCAUGGCAUUUAGAAUUAUUUGAUUGUUCUUUGUUUUUUCUUUUAGUUCCCUAUUUUUUUUCCCUAUGUUUCAAUGGGAUGGGUGCUUUUUUAUAUCAUAUUGGUUAUUACCAUUCUAAUCUAAUCAGCCCACAUUUUUGUUUUAUCAACACCCACUAAAAGUAUAUAAAUUUUUAUAAUUUUUGUCUUCAGAUAAAUGAUUGUUAUGUUGUCAAAGGGGUACUUAAAUUAUUUUACAUGUUUUGUUAUUGGAAGAUCAUUGAAAUUGUUAUUUUGCAGAUUUAUGGACCAAGUGUUGUGGUUGUGGUUAAAAAGUCUACAACGUAUGCUCAAUAUUAAGUCUUCAAAUGCCAGCAGCUGAAAUUUUUCAGUUUGAAGGAGUCAUUUUUAAUGAUUAGACUGGUUAACGAAGGCGUGGGUUAAAGGUAAUGUUUUCCUAAGAGUUUACUUUCAGCAUUUUUUUUUCUAUCUCAAAACAUUUAACCCCUCACUUACCCAACCACCCACAGAGAUUCACCACUUCUAUUUCAGAUCGGACGGUCUAGGUGAGUAACUGCGUGACGCAGUUAUGGCACCAAAUCCAUUUCCGCCACGACUGUUGUAGAAAACAACACAGUUUUCACACAGUAGUUAAUCUGAGCCGUUGAUCAUAGAUCANNNNNNNNNNAAGUUAUAUAUGAUAAAAUCAAUUAAAAAUCACUGUGUCCAUCUAUUUCAGAUCGGACGGUCCAGGUGAGUAACUGCAUGACGCGGUUACCGUACCAAAUCCAUUUCCGCCACGACUGUUGUAGAAAACAACACCGUUUUCACACAGUAGUUAAUCUGAGCCGUUGUUCAUAGAUUAGACGGUCAAAGUUAUAUAUGAUCAAAUCAAUUAAAAAUCACCGUGUCCAUCUAUUCAGAUCGGACGGUCCAGGUGAGUAACUGUGUGACGCGGUUACUGUACCAAAUCCAUUUCCGCCACGAUUGCCGUAGAAAACAACACAGUUUUCAUGCAAUAGUUAAUCUGAGCCGUUGAUCAUAGAUCAAACAGUCAAAAUUAUAUACUCUCUCCGGUCCUUUUAAUAUAAGAGAGAUUUCACUUUUUAGAUUUAUUAAGAAUCUAAUAUAUCUAGUUCAUACACCCCUUUCUCUCCGUAAAAUGCAUUUAAUCUCUAAAAUUGCUUUGGAUCUAUUCUUGCCUUCUUGUUCUUCUUCAUUAGUCUUCUCUCUCAUGUAAGUAUCGUCAAACCAGUUAGAUCUAGCUCCACAAAAUUUGAAAGAAAUUAUUGUAUGCCUUUGAUUGAGACCACCACAGGCAAAGUGACAGAGAAGCUUGUAGCGACGGCGGUUGUGCUAUGUGGAUGUGUUAUUAUACCCUUUAUUUAUUUUUUCAGAUUUACCAUUUCUGGUAUUGUUGAAACUUCAUUUUUACAGAUUUUCCUUCUUCCUCCUUUUCUACCAAUUUCUGCAACUUUUAUUAUAUUUUAAUGAUAAGCAACAACAGCUCCAAGGUUGCAUUCUGAAACAACUGAUAGGAAAAAAUAAGCAACACAGACCUCCACGUAGGUAAGCAACAACAAGCUCCAAUGCUUAAAAGUUAAGGUAUAGAACUUGGGCCUCCACGUAGGUAAGCAACAACAAGCUCCAAUGCUUAAAAGUUAAGGUAUAGAACUUGGGCCUCCACGUAAUCACUAAGGAACCUGCGUUGGAGCUGUUCUUAUACUCUUACAGUUUUUUUAGGGUGCCGAUCAUGGACAGUGCUGAUUGAAGAAAACGAGAAUAAGUUCACGACACUAGAAAAAUUAUUUAAAAUUUAAAUAAAAUUAAUAAUCAGGAAUAAGUGGGUCCGCCCCUUAAAGGCCCUUUUUACAGCUCUACUCUUACUACAUAUGUUACACAUCUUGGGUUCUUUCUCUAAGUUGAACUAACGUCUGUUUUAAGGACACAACCUUAGCCGUUCAUCUAACAAUCUACUGUUCUACAAGAACGGAAGUUUAAGAAUCUAAAGUUUAUGAAUCUAGUAGUAGAAAAAUUAAGACAAUCUGAUUAAUAUUACUAGAAGUCUGUAGCUAUGCACAUAAGCUACUUAAAAACUCUUGCCAAGAAUUCACUAAGUUCUCCAUAUUUCUUCCUCAAGCUAUAUGUUAAUUCUCCGCCAAAUUUAAAUUUCUCUUUUGUUUGUUUCUAAAUUCCACUCCGCGAUUGUUAAUUCCGAAAUUUGGUGUCGUCGUCUCUUUACGCGCCAUGAAAUAAAAAUUGGUUAUGGUUUUCACAAUGUCUGAAAUGUGUUCCAUUUCUAUUUGGAAUCCAAUUCUAUUGGAUUUUUGCCAUUCUCCACCCAAUUUAAUUUCAUUAUGAAACCUGCAAAAAAUUUGUAAUAGAUGAAAUAAUUAGUUUAUGGUUCAUUGCAUAACUAUCUAAAAUUUUAUUCGUUAAUUACUUACACAUUAACAGCCAAAUUUAAGAAACCGCAAUCAAUUUUAAAUUUUCCAUGGAUAGUAAUUGACCAUCUAAUGCAUCCGACGCUUAGGUGCGUAUUACAUUCCAAUCGCUCCACAACUCGUAAACCCCCCAAAAUUGUCAAUUAUCUCCCACCAAGUUCAAUGAUACCCUUCAUCACUUUGUUCACCGGGAUGUCCAAAUGCAUAUAUGUCAAUGGUGAUGAGGGAACUUCCACCUUGUAGUUAAAUUCUUGCAUCUCGUAUUAGAAACAGUUAAAUCUAGAUGUCAAACAUCAAGUAAAAUAAAAGUUUAUUUUACUUGAUGUUUCACAUCUAGAUUUAACUGUUUUUAAUACGAGAUGCAAGAAUUUAACUUCAAGGUGGAAGUUCCCUAGUCACCAUUGCCACCUAUGCAUUUGGAUCCGAUGAACGUAGUGAUGAAAGGUAUCAUUGAGCUUGGUGGGAGUUCAUUGAUAAUUUCAUGGGGUUUAUGAACUGGGGAGUGAUUGAAAUGCAAUAUGCAUUUACGUGUCGGAUGCAUUGGAUGACCGAUUACUAUCGGUGGGGAAUUGAAAUUCGAUUGCGGUUUCUUAAAUGCGGCUAUUAAUGUGUAAGUAAUUAAUGUAUAAAAUUUUAGAUUGUUAUGCAAUGAACCAUAAACUAUUUAUUUCAUCUAUUACAACUUUGUGCAGGUUUCAUAAUGAAAUUAAAAUGGGUGGAGAAUGGCAAAAAUCCAAUAGAAUUGGAUUCCAAAUAGAAAUGGAACACAUUUCAGGCAUUUGGAAAACCAUAACCAAUUUUUAUUUCAUGGCGCGUAAAGAGACGACGACACCAAAUAUCGGAAUUAACAAUCGCGGAUAGUUAACAAUGGAAUUUAGAAACAAACUAGAGGAGAAAUUCAAAUUUGGCGGAGGAUUAACAUUGAGGAAAAAUAUGGAGAACUAAAGUGGACCAUUGACAAGAGUUUUUGAGUAGCUUAUGUGUAUAACUACAUACUUUUAUUUAGUACUAUUAAUCUAGAUUGUGUUGCUUUUUUCUACUAUUAGAUUCUUAAACUUCUGUUCAUGUAGAACAAUAGAUUGUUAGAUGAAUUCAUAUAAAAUUACGAGUUAGUACUAUUAAUCUAGAUUUUGUUACUUUUAUCUACUAUUAGAUUCUUAAACAUCUGUUCUUGUAGAACAGUAAAUUGUUAGAUGAAUUCAUAUAAAGUUAUGAUGAUUGUUAUGUAAAUGGAUUAAAUUCAUGACAUUUUCACUGGUUUAAUCAUACAACAAUUAAACCAUAUACAUUUAAACUAAUGUAAUCAUAAAUUUACAUAGCAAUUAAGCAUUUACAUUUUUGUCCACCAAAAGGAAAUUUAGAUUUCCAGCAGUUUUGUUGCCUUUUGCCGUUGCUUCCAUUUAUAAACAUGGAUUGAAUUUCUUAAUUCUCACUUUCAAUCCAACUUAAUUUUCACUGUUUCCCCUAGUGUAGCGACUGGAAUCAUCUGAGUUAACAUUUGGGGCUACAAAAUCCAGUCCAAACCUCUGAUUUAUUAAAUUGAUUGUGAAAUAUUAUAAUAAUUACAUAAAUUUAAAAUCAAAGUUAAAAAAUUAUCCAUUUUUUAAAGGCUUAAAUAUGUUGUUGGUCCCUGCAGUUGUAACUCAUUUUGAUAUUGGUCCUGUAAUUUUUUUUUUGUUUGAUUUAAGACCUUGCACUUUGAAUAAAAUUGGUUUUAGUUCUGGUUGUUAGUUUGACUGUUACAAAAAUGGAAGAGACUAACGGAGUGCCAUGUGGCAUAAUCAUUUUAUGCCACGUGGCAUAGUCAAAGUCAUACCUAUAUAUUGUUUUUAAAUUUGUUUUAAUAUAUUAUAUUAUUAAUUAAUAAACAUUAAGUAGAUUUUUUUUAAAGAAAAUCAGCAUCACCACAACAUCUCUUCAAACGCAGAAGUCUUCAUCAUCAUCCUGUUAAAUUACCACCAUGUCUUCAUCUUCUACCUCUGAAUUUCACCACCAUCAUCACCAUAUUUUCAUCUUUAUCUUUUCAAUCAAAUAAAAUAAAAGAACAAAGUGGCACAAAGGACAAACAACAAAGAGCACUCUGCCGCUUCCCACUAUGAAACAAACAACAUGAUUACAAGCAGUCACAGAGAGAGUGAUCGUUGCACGAACUCGAACACUAGUUGCAAAAUGCUGACGUGAUUUAGGACCCAGAUUUUGGGUUUAUGGUCUCACUGGUCUAGAUUUCAAUUAUUACGCUUGAACCUGUAAAAAGUUUUGUUAGAAUUUUGACAAAUCUUAUACGCAAAUUAACCUACAAUAACAUGAUGUGAACAAGCUUGUAUUCAAGCUACAAGGUGUCGGAGUCAGACUAUUAUAUUGGGGUAAUAAACAAGCCAGCAUUUUAACAUUCAUUAUGAGAAGAAAAAAUUAAAACCUGAAAAUCAUUCAGUUCAGCAUCACUAAGAGCACCAUCUCUGUCACGGUCAUAAAGGAUAAAAAUCUGCUUCAAAGCCCGCGCAUAUCGAAGUUUUAGAGUUUUUGAAUCCUUAUCUACUAAAGGAGCGGUGGGAUAAAGAGUAGCCUUUUGUGCUAAGAAGAAAACAUCAGAGACCUUCAACAAGGAAAUUUAAUUACAAUUGUAUGAAACAAAAUCCAAAUAUAAUUGUAGCAAUGACCUUUAAAAUAAGAUUUCAAAAAACAGGAAUUUGAUUGCAAUAGUAUGUAUAAAUAAUAAAAAAAUACCUGGAUACUACUAUAUGCUGAACACUGAAUGCAUGCUUCAAUCUCACAGAACUGCUGCAUUAGUUGUGACAUCAUCUGUUCUAGACUCACUUGCUGAUUUUCAUCUUGCAGAUCAAGCUUACAACCAACCACUAUAACCGGAACUUUGACCUGUUC